UGAGGGCGCGCAUGAGGUGUAGACAGG
rnacentral:piRNA from 1 species